rnacentral:rRNA from 1 species
AUUGAACGCUGGCGGCAGGCCUAACACAUGCAAGUCGAGCGAGCGGCGGCCGGGUGAGUAAUGUCUGGGAAUCUGCCUGAUGGUGGGGGAUAACUACCGGAAACGGUAGCUAAUACCGCAUACCAUCGGAUGUGCCUAGAUGGGAUUAGCUAGUUGGUGGGGUAAAGGCUUACCUAGGCGACGAUCCCUAGCUGGUCUGAGAGGAUGAUCAGCCACACUGGAACUGAGACACGGUCCAGACUCCUACGGGAGGCAGCAGUGGGGAAUAUUGCACAAUGGGCGCAAGCCUGAUGCAGCCAUGCCGCGUGUAUGAAGAAGGCCUUCGGGUUGUAAAGUACUUUCAGCUGGGAGGCGUUACCAGAAGAAGAAGCACCGGCUAACUCCGUGCCAGCAGCCGCGGUAAUAC